GCCGGGGUGGCCGAACGGUUCAGGCGGCGGGCUGCAGACCCGCAGUAUGUGGGUUCGACUCCCACACCCGGCUCCA
rnacentral:tRNA from 1 species